rnacentral:misc_RNA from 1 species
AUGAUUAUGCGCUUGAUUUGAUUCUGGAUGUCGAGUCGUCUCAUGGUGAUAUGUUCACUGAGGAACAAAACGAGUUAGUUGAAUCAGCUGCAGAGAUGUUAUAUGGUCUGAUUCAUGUCCGAUACAUUCUGAGUACCAGGGGAAUGGCUGCAAUGCUAGACAAGUACAAGAACUUUGACUUCGGAAGAUGCCCUAGAGUUUACUGUUGUGGUCAGCCUUGUCUACCUGUAGGGCAGUCGGAUGUACCUCGAGCUAGCACGGUGA